GUCACUGCUAUUGGGAUCCGAUUAAGCCAUGCGAGUCGAGAGGGUUCGGCCCUCGGCAGACGGCUCAGUAACACGUGGAUAAUCUACCCUUAGGUGGAGGAUACUCUCGGGAAACUGAGAAUAAUACUCCAUAGAUCUAGGAGGCUGGAAUGCACCUAGAUUGAAAGCUCCGGCGCCUAAGGAUGAGUCUGCGGACUAUCAGGUAGUAGUCAGGGUAAUGACCUGACUAGCCUACGACGGAUACGGGUUGUGAGAGCAAUCGCCCGGAGACGAUAUCUGAGACACGAUAUCGGGCCCUACGGGGCGCAGCAGGCGCGAAACCUUCACAAUGUGCGAAAGCACGAUGAGGGGAUCCCAAGUGCUGGCUCGUAAGAGUCAGCUGUUUCUCUGUCUAAAAAACAGAGAGAGUAAGGGCUGGGUAAGACGGGUGCCAGCCGCCGCGGUAAUACCUGCAGCUCAAGUGGUGGCCGCUAUUAUUGGGCCUAAAACGUCCGUAGCCGGCCUAAUAAAUGCCUGGGUAAAUUGUAUAGCUUAACUAUACGAAUUCCGGGUAGACUGUUAGGCUUGGGACCGGGAGAAGCUAGAGGUACUCCUGGGGUAGAGGUGAAAUUCUGUAAUCCUAGGGGGACCACCGGUGGCGAAGGCGUCUAGCCAGAACGGGUCUGACGGUGAGGGACGAAGCCCUGGGGCGCAAACCGGAUUAGAUACCCGGGUAGUCCAGGGUGUAAACGCUGCUUGCUUGAUGUUAGUUGGGCUCCGUGCCCAACUAGUGUCGGAGAGAAGUUGUUAAGCAAGCUGCCUGGGAAGUACGGUCGCAAGACUGAAACUUAAAGGAAUUGGCGGGGGAGC
rnacentral:rRNA from 1 species